GCUGGCAGCUAGCUCUCUGCAACUCUCCCACUAAAGCCAAGCAGGACUGCGCCCAGUCAGUACCUAGAUGGGAGACCACAUGGGAAAAUGAAGUUGCUGCUGGAA
rnacentral:rRNA from 1 species